UUGGAUGUUCUAGACAAACC
rnacentral:piRNA from 1 species